rnacentral:rRNA from 1 species
GACGAACGCUGGCGGCGUGCUUAACACAUGCAAGUCGAACGGAAAGGCCCUGCUUGCAGGGUACUCGAGUGGCGAACGGGUGAGUAACACGUGGGUGAUCUGCCCUGCACUUCGGGAUAAACCUGGGAAACUGGGUCUAAUACCGGAUAGGAGCCAUUUUUAGUGUGAUGGUUGGAAAGUUUUUUCGGUGUAGGAUGAGCUCGCGGCCUAUCAGCUUGUUGGUGGGGUAAUGGCCUACCAAGGCGGCGACGGGUAGCCGGCCUGAGAGGGUGGACGGCCACAUUGGGACUGAGAUACGGCCCAGACUCCUACGGGAGGCAGCAGUGGGGAAUAUUGCACAAUGGGCGCAAGCCUGAUGCAGCGACGCCGCGUGGGGGAUGACGGCCUUCGGGUUGUAAACUCCUUUCGCUAGGGACGAAGCUUUUGUGACGGUACCUAGAUAAGAAGCACCGGCUAACUACGUG